AUGAACAGGGUGUCAGUGAAUCAACGAGGUGGAUAUGGAGGAGGAAGAGGUGGUUACGGUGGAGGCGAUGGAUAUAAUGGCUACGGAGGGAAUGGUGGUUAUGGUGGAGGUGGACCUAAUUAUGGUGGCAACCGUGGUUAUGGAGGAGGCAGCGGAGGUGGUGGCGGCGGCUAUGGAAACCAGGGUGGAGGCUAUGGUGGUGGCGGCGGUGGCUAUGAUAACUACAACAAUGGUGGUGGAGGCAACUUCGGAGGAGGCAACUUUGGAGGUGGCGGAGGCUACAACGACUUUGGCAACUACAACAAUCAAUCUCCCUCUAACUACGGCCCAAUGAAGGGAGGAAACUACGGAAGUGGUGGAAGGAGCGGUGGUGGUGGUGGUGGCCCAUAUGGCGGUGGUUAUGGAGGAGGCUCUGGUGGGGGUUAUGGAGGAGGCUCUGGUGGGAGAAGGUUUUAGAUUCAAGG
ensembl:lncRNA